rnacentral:rRNA from 1 species
AUACGUAGGGGGCGAGCGUUGUCCGGAUUUAUUGGGCGUAAAGGGUGCGUAGGCGGCCUUGUAAGUCAGAUGUGAAAUCUCACGGCUUAACCGUGGUAAGCAUUUGAAACUGUGAGGCUUGAGUACGGGAGAGGAGAGUGGAAUUCCUAGUGUAGCGGUGAAAUGCGUAGAUAUUAGGAGGAAUACCAGUGGCGAAGGCGACUCUCUGGACUGUAACUGACGCUGAGGCACGAAAGCGUGGGGAGCAAACAGGAUUAGAUACCCUGGUAGUCCACGCCGUAAACGAUGAGUGCUAGGUGUCGGGGGUCAAACCUCGGUGCCGCAGUUAACACAUUAAGCACUCCGCCUGGGGAGUACGGUGGCAACACUGAA